GACGAACGCUGGCGGCGUGCUUAACACAUGCAAGUCGAACGGAAAGGCCCUGCUUUUGUGGGGUGCUCGAGUGGCGAACGGGUGAGUAACACGUGAGUAACCUGCCCUUGACUUUGGGAUAACUUCAGGAAACUGGGGCUAAUACCGGAUAGGAGCUCCUGCUGCAUGGUGGGGGUUGGAAAGUUUCGGCGGUUGGGGAUGGACUCGCGGCUUAUCAGCUUGUUGGUGGGGUAGUGGCUUACCAAGGCUUUGACGGGUAGCCGGCCUGAGAGGGUGACCGGCCACAUUGGGACUGAGAGACGGCCCAGACUCCUACGGGAGGCAACAGUGGGGAAUAUUGCACAAUGGGUGGAAGCCUGAUGCAGCAACGCCGUGUGCGGGAUGACGGGCUUCGGGUUGUAAACCGCUUUCGCUCAUGACGAAGCUUUGUGUGACGGUAGUGGGUAAAGAAGCACCGGCUAACUACGUG
rnacentral:rRNA from 1 species